UACGUAGGUGGCAAGCGUUAUCCGGAUUUAUUGGGUGUAAAGGGCGUGUAGGCGGGAAUGCAAGUCAGAUGUGAAAACUCAGGGCUCAACCCUGGGCCUGCACUUGAAACUGUGUUUCUUGAGUGCUGGAGAGGCAAUCGGAAUUCCGUGUGUAGCGGUGAAAUGCGUAGAUAUACGGAGGAACACCAGUGGCGAAGGCGGAUUGCUGGACAGUAACUGACGCUGAGGCGCGAAAGCGUGGGGAGCAAACAGG
rnacentral:rRNA from 1 species